rnacentral:snRNA from 1 species
GUGCUCGCUUCCGCAGCACAUACACCAAAAUUAGAACGAUACAAGAGAUUAGCAUGGCCCCUGCGUAAGGAUGACACACAAAUUUGCAAAGGCUUCCAUGGUUUC